ACGCUCGACACCUACGGGAGCAGCAGUCGGGAAUAUUGCGCAAUGGAGGAAACUCUGACGCAGUGACGCCGCGUAUAGGAAGAAGGUUUUCGGAUUGUAAACUAUUGUCGUUAGGGAAGAAAAAGGACAGUACCUAAGGAGGAAGCUCCGGCUAACUACGUCACGACAGCCGCGGUAAUCUGAGCGGGCUGGCAAGGC
rnacentral:rRNA from 1 species